rnacentral:rRNA from 1 species
UACGAGAGGCCCGAACGUUAUUCGGAAUUACUGGGCUUAAAGAGUUCGUAGGCGGCGCAGAAAGUAGGGUGUGAAAGCCCUCGGCUUAACCGAGGAAUUGCGCUCUAAACUACUGUGCUUGAGGAAUCUAGAGGUGAGCGGAACUGAUGGUGGAGCGGUGAAAUGCGUUGAUAUCAUCAGGAACACCGGAGGCGAAGGGCGGCUCACUGGGGAUUUUCUGACGCUGAGGAACGAAAGCCAGGGGGAGCGAACGGG